UUCCAUAUACAGAAACCUAAGUUCAUUCAUACAGCACCUCUGACUGAGGCAAUGAUCACAUUAUGGCGUAAAACCACUAUAACUUGUACAUGAUAAAACUAACCCAAUAAUAUUAGUCCACAAUAAAUAUUAGAAAAAAAAAAUUCUUUAUAAUGUCAUUGAUCUAUCACUUAAUCACCUGAGUGCCGAAGGCACAAGUCACUGAAAUAAAUAAGCCAUUUGAAUUUAAACAAAUAUCUUUCAAAUUGAAACAAACAUUAACUUAUUGAUAAAUAAAUAUGGAUCAUGAAGUAGCAUGAACACAAGGAUGAUCAUACAACUUAUGCCUUGUGCUCGUGUUGAGGUGAUGCUUCCUUACAUAGUUACUUCUUCUUCUCCCUUAAAUAAGGGUUUGACGUAACGUACAUUUGCCAUAUAAUACUUCCAGAACUCAAAAAGAUCAUCUUUCUUAGCAUCUGUUAUAAUAAAUUAUUUAUCCAUUAAAACCAAUAUAGAAAAAUAAAAAAUACAAAGUGACAAACACAAAUACAAAUCAAAAUUCUCUUCAAUUAAUUGUAUAUAGACGCAACUAUUUUUAAGAUUUGGGAAUCAUAUGGACACCUUACCCUGUACCUAGAGCUAUAUCAUGUCUUAUAAUCAACCUCAUAAAAAAUUAUUUACACCUAACCUCACCCAAAACCUUCAAAUUUUUUGUCUUUACGGUUUUUUUUUUUUUUUUUUGUCAUGAAUUUAUUGUCUCCUUCGUCUCCUCCACCAACACAAAAGCCUUACGUAUAGAGCUUUUUCACUCUUUCCAACCAUGGAAAAAACAAACUCAUCUAACAAAUAAACAAACAUAUUUAUAACAAAGCCAAACCGAAAAAAGAACAAAUUAGACAAUUAGGGUUUCAAUACACUUGGGAGGGAAAUCAGAAGAGAGAGAACUCACAAGUCGGAAAAUAGAAAGAGGAAGGAGGUAUGUGGAGAAGAGAUUAGUAGGGAGAGACAAUUCUAGACAAAACUGUAACUAAACUUCGGUGGCUCUUAGCACCUUGGCCACCCCAAAGUCUGCAUUAUUGGGUGGGGCCGUGGGGAUAACAUUUUGGAUAGCUCUUGGUAGUUGGUAUGACUUCCUUAAAAUUCUUGGGAAAAUUUGUUUGGAGAUUUACCUAAGGUGGUGUUUGAUAACACGAUUUUCCUGUGGCAAACGCGAUUUUGCCCGCUUUUUUUCAUUUGCUCGCGUUUGAUAACCUAGUCGGAUUAUUCGGCAAAAUUUGCCUGAACACCCUCACGUGCCUCUAUUUUCCCGCAUUAAAGCGGACAAAUUUUGCCUAGCCCCCCCCAGGCAAAAUUUGCUUUGCCACUUAACCCUCUACAAUUUGCCAAGUAUAUAUUACAUUUUUGCCAAAAAAAACCCUACUCAAAGAAGAAAAAACCCUAACCUUCGAAGCUCUUUAAUGGCGGCACAGUAGAUGCGAUUUUCAAGACGACGGACAUUUCGAACCCUAAAACAGGUAACUUUCUUCUUCUUCUUGUUUAUCUUCUUCAAUGAAUUCAUCUUCUUCAAUGAAUUCAUCUUCUUCUUCUUUUCGAUCUGUUUGGGUAAAGUUCGAUCUGUUGAAAGUUCGAUCUGUUUAAAGUUCGAUUUGUUUAAGUUCGAACUUUAAAGUUCGAUCUGAUUAAGUUCGAUCUGAUUAAAGUUCGAUCUGAUUAAGUUCGAUCUGAUUAAAGUUCGAUCUGAUUAAAGUUCGAUCUGAUUAAAGUUCGAUCUGUUUAAGUUCGAUCUGUUUAAGUUCGAUCUUUAAGUUCGAUCUUUAAGUUUGAUCUGUUAAGUUCGAUCUGUUAAGUUCGAUCAAGUUCGAUCUGUUAAGUUCGAUCUGUUAAAGUUCGAUCUGUUUAAAGUUCGAUCUGUUAAAGUUCGAUCUGUUAAAGUUCGAUCUGUUAAAGUUCGAUCUGUUAAAGUUCGAUCUGUUAAAGUUUAAUCAAAAGGUAAUUUAUUCUCAUUUCUUUGAUUAAUUAUCUCUGUAUAUAUAUAUAUAUAUUACUUUGAUUACAUAAUAUUGUAUCACACAAGGUUUUGAACUUAAUCCUGUAUGCAUUAAACAAGAGACACAAUCCCUUACACUGCAAUCUGCACACACUAGGUUUUGAUCAGGUCAAAAAACUAAUGUAAAUUGUUGUUUUUAACUAGUCACAAUGUCAACAUAUUCGGCAAUGCAACUAUAAGCGGGUGAUUAUAUGCGAAACCAGUGCAUUGUAAUCUAGUCAAGACCAUAAUAAUCUGUUUAGUAUACAUAUUGAUGACAAUUUAAUUGCAGUCAUCAUGAAUACUAGACUUGAGUAGUAUUGAGUCUCAAAAUUUGUUUUAUAAGUCAGCUGAACGAUAAUAUCGAUAUAUAGAUUUGAUAAUUCUCUUUGAUCCAUUGAUCUAACUUCUUUGUACUGGGGAUGGAGUUGUGACUUUAUUUAUCUCACACUUUCUUUCUAAAAGGAAGUAUUGUUUCCGAAAGAAGUAAACAUUGACGUCUCUCGUAGGGUAGAAAACUGUAAUAGCAUUGGGCUAUUGGCACAGUGUCCUCUCUUUUGAAUAAAACUUUGAACUUCAAAACUCGGGAGGGUGUAGGGACACCAGGUCACCACCAUCACUGUAAAUAUAUAGAUAUACUAAAUUACUUAUCGAUUAAAUUUCGAUCUGUUAAAAGGUUGAACAGAUCUGAACAAAUUGAACAAAUCUGAACAGUUUGAACAAAUCUGUUCAAUUGUCAAGUUAUUAUUGAUGCCUAUAUUCUAUGUUGAUAAUAUCUGAUGAAUGUUUAUGUGUGGUUUUGUCACACUGAAUUUUCUUUUGCAGACCAGUAUCUUUUGCAGACCAGUAUUGUUUAAACAUCAGCUCAAGAAGGUAUGAUUUGAUUUGAGGUUUUUCGGUUUUUUUUUUUUGUAAAAAUUGUAUGCAGUAGUGAUGUAUGAUAUUAUUUGGCAGCUUCGCUCUCUCUUGUCCUUCGAUUUCUCCCUUUCGCUCGUGUUUGUCUUUCUCUACUCAUUUGCUUUUCAAGGUUGGUUAUUUCUUUUACCAUGUAUUCGUUUCUAUUAUAACGCAUGUUUAGUUGGGAUUAGAAAACAUGUUGGGAUCGGCAUUAGGUAUCUAUAUAUGCAGUAGGUAUCUACCAUGUAUCAGUUGGGAUUCCAAUGGCAUGUUUGAAUAAUUAAUAAGUGAUGUUUAUGAAUAGAGGUUUUGUUUUUAUUAUAUAAUCAUGUUUUCAAGUUUCAAUAUAGAUUGUUUUUGUCAUCUAUAGAUUGUCAUUUGUUUACAUACAAAUAAUAGUACAUACUAGUAUCCUGAUUAGUUUGUACACACAACGUAAGAUUUUAUGUUAAUUCCUACACACAUACAGAUUAAUGAUUGUAUUAGUUGUUUCUAUAAUUAAACACAUAGUACAGACUAGACUAGUAACUUGAUUAGUUGUGAGAAUUAUAUAUUAUACGAAAUAAGUUGAUGUAAUGGUAACUCAUAAUGUUAACAAAAUCUGUAGUUAAAUAAAAAUUGAAAUCUGAAAAUAAAUUGAAAGCUGAAAAUAAAUUGAAAGCUGAUAUAUAUAAAGUCAUUAUGUUGAAAACAUCUAAUUACCACUUUUCAGAGAAUGGGUAAAUAUUCCUAUUAUGUUGUGCGUCGUGGGUUCUGUCCGGGUAUCUACAGAACUUGGGAGGAGUGCAAGUCACAGACGGACGGCUUUAGCAACGCUGACUGGCGUGGUGCUUAUACCAUUGCUGAAGCAAGGCAUAUGCUUCAGCAACAUCUUACAAAUGGUUUCUGUCAACCUUCUGGCCUUAUGUGUGAUCCCAAUCAUCUUAUGUCCCAGUCUUACAUUCCUGCGCCAGAACCGUCUGAACAUUCUGGUCAAUCUUACCAAUCCGCCGCUCAAUCUCAAGCACCUCUAUCUCCACUAGUCAGUCAUCGGCCCUUAAACAAUGUUGUUGUGGUGGACGACUUUUGGUGGUGGGUCAAGAAGUUGGUGUUGGUUAUGUUGGUUGUUGUUAUUGCAUUGUUAAUUAAAUUGUUAUUUGUCUUGUGAGAUUUAUGUAAAAAGUGAAAUUGAUGAUGUAAAUUAUUAACCAGUUUUUCUAAUAAUUUUUCAUUUAAAAAGCACUCUUACGCAUUCAUACACUACUAACAAUUAAAAUUAUUAACCAAAUAAACUUACCACAUGUUCUGUAGAAUGCCUACCGAGGAUGAACGUAUCGUUGCAGCUACGAUUGUAAUUGUAGCUGUCGAUUGGUUAAUGCACUAUAUUGGAACGAGACGUGAACGUGUUCCUAGAGGUCCUAGGGCUCCCUAUACCUAUAAUAGAGAUUCGUCGCGUGGGUGAACCUUAGCCCGGUUCUACACCGAUAACGACAACGAUUGCCAUGACCAAUUGAGGAUGAGGCGUUUUGCAUUCCAUCGGUUAUGUGCUAGGUUGAAGACUUUGGGUUUAUCCGACUCUCGGUAUGUGUCAGUUGAAGAACAAGUUGCAAUGUUCUUGCUCAUAGUCGGCCACGACAAUCGGUGUAGAAGAACACGUCACGAGUUUAGGCGUUCUGGACAAACCGUGAGCCAUUACUUCCACUUGGUUUUGAAUGCUUGUCUAAAAUUGUAUAGGCAAGUGGUUGUCAACGCCACGGCUGAGAACUCACCCCUCAAUGACGGUCCUGGGGAUGUCUUUUGGCAUCAAUAUUUCAAGGUACGAAAAAUUAUUUCGUAUUUUAUCAUCUUCUUAUAGGUACGAAAAACUCUUUCGUAUUUUUCUGACCAAGUAAAUUGUUAAUUAGGACGCUGUAGGCGCAAUCGAUGGUACCCACUUCCCCACCUUAGUGCCCCUUGAUGAUCAACCGAGGUAUCGUAAUCGGAAAGGAGUGAUAUCCCAGAAUGUUCUAAUUGGAUGUACGUUCGACAUGAGAUUCACUUACGUUCUAGCUGGGUGGGAAGGGUCGGCGCAUGAUGGCCGGUUGUUGAGAUGUGCGGUUACUCGUGAAGGUAGGAGAUUAACCUUGCCCCCUGGUAAGUAUUACCUUGCGGAUGCUGGCUUUGCAUUAAGUCCCGGCUUCCUCACACCUUAUCGUGGGGUUCGAUACCAUCUCAAAGAACAAGGACAUCGGGCUGUUGAAACUGAUGAAGAACUGUACAACUGUCGGCAUUCCAGGCUACGUAAUGUUGUGGAGAGGAUCAUAGGGGUGUUGAAGAAACGUUUCGCUUAUUUGAGGAAGGCACCAUUCCAUGAUGUGAAGACACACACAAAGAUAAUAUUGGCGUGUUGUGCAAUUCACAACUUCCUCAAAGAUAUCGAUCCAGCUGAUGUAGUGGAACCUGAUUUAGAGGAACCCGAAGAACCCGUUCCCCCCGAGGCAGAUAAUGCGCAAGGCGGUGGAAUACUCAUAUCCGCAUCACGGUCUUGGAGUAAGUGGCGUGAUGACUUGAAGAAGGAAAUGUGGACUAAUUAUCAGAAUUACCAUGAGCUGGAAUAGCUUUGAGGUUUCGUUGAUUUUAUUAGGGUUGUGAGUGUGGUAGUGUUGUGCUUGAGUAUUUGAUGAGUUGUUUGAAAUAAUUUGUUUGGGUUGUUUGAAAUAAGUUCGAAUAAUGGAAGAGGUAAUUUGCCAAUAAUUGUAAUAAGUUGGAAUAAUUUGUGGUUUGGACUAUUUGAUAGUGUUAUGAGCGAGAUUAUGUUUGGAUGUUCCAUUUGGAUAAGUUGUUUGGAAUAAUACGCUUGUAUACGCUUGUGUAUGGUUCAUAUCUGUGUAUAACUGUGAGUGUGGGAUGAUUAGGUACAACUAUGUCGAACGGACAGUUCAAGAAGCCUAGAAAGACCAGGAAGGGCAAUGGACAAGAUUCAGCGGACCCUUACUUCCCAACUGACAAGCCAGUUAAGUGCCACAUAAGGUGGACCAAACAAAUGGAAGAGGUGAUGUUGAACACUUUGUAUGAAGAAGUGUUGAGAAACGGUAAAAGAGCUGACAGUGGCUUAAGAACCGAAUCAUUGAAAGCAGCUGCAGAUGGUGUCAAUUCAGCCCUCCGUAUGAAUGUUAGUUCUGAACAUGUACGGACUCGCCUGAAGACACUUAGGAAGGACUACAAGAUUGUAAAGGAACUUCUGGAUUUGUCUGGUUUGGGAUUUACUUUUGACACCGAAAACAAGACUGUUAUUGCUGCAGAUGAGGAUGUUUGGGAACGGUACUUUGUGGUAAGGCACAUUUGUUUAUGAGUUUGGUAAUUGUUGGGUCGUAAACUUGACAAAAUGAUUAACACAAGUGUGCUUUGUAGGCUCAUCCUGAAUCACGUAAUGUUCGUGGGAAGCAUUUUCCAUACUUUGAACAAUUGAGCCUCAUCAUCGGCAACGAAACUGCAACUGGUGAAGGAGCAUUCGCAGGUGAUGAAGUUGAUGAUGAACAAGUUGAGGGGUCACCUGCAGGCAGUGGUAAGAUACAGCCCUUUUGUGUUUAUUAAAAUCGUUGUACAUUUUAAUCUGGGGCUGAUUCGUAGAUUGUGAAUGUAUACAAUCGCAGAUGGAUUGGGGGCUGAUUCGUACUUUUACAUGGAUGAUGGUGCCGGUGUUGGAACGUUCGACACAAGUGCAACCGGUGCAUCAAAUAAUGAGAGCUCAAGCAACUGCAGUGAUUCUGCCCCUCGCAUGCACCCAAUUCCACCCCCAGUGCAACCUGUUCAAUCCAAGCGCAAGAAGUCGCGUUUCGGACCCCAGGAACAACCAAGCAACUCUGAGUAUGCACAGGGCAUCAUGGAUGCUGUUAAGACCUUGGCAACGGCAUUUGCUGGUCCGAACAUCGAUGAAUUGUGUGAUGCAAUCAAGGUUGUAAGCAAGGGGGACAGAGUCCUGUAUCUGAAGGGUCUCGACUUUCUAGGUGUCGAGGACAAGCAAGCGAAGAUAUUUCUUGGGAUGGACGCUGAUCUGAGGGCUGAUUGGUUGGUUGAUAAGCUUACCUAUGUUAAGCCUUUCAAUGGGGAUGAGUGGGCUGAUUCGUAGUUGUCUUCAUCUGUCUUGAUGUGUGUCUUGAUAAUCCUUGUAAACUGAUAUGACUGCAUUUUCUUAACUUUGUCUGAACUAGUUAACUUUGUAAGUGGUUUGUAUAAACUAAUGUAAAACAGAUAUGACUUCUUUUCUUAUCUAUCUAUGGUUUGAACUUUUGUUUAUCUGAAUGGCUUGAAUGGUUUAGUCCUGGAAUAUUCUUGUCACUUUUUAUUACUUUGUGUUGUCGAGUUGUGUCGGGUUCCGAAAAUAUAUAUAGAGGAACCAGUUGUAUGUGUGUGAUGUAAACUGACUGCGAUGGAUUGUUCCAGUCAGUGGGAAUGCUUUAGUCCUUAAAUAUUCUUGUCACAUUUUAGUACUUUGUGUUGUCGAGUUGUGUCGAGUUCAGAAUAUAUAUAUAUAUGUUGUAGUUGUAUGUGUCUAAUGUAAACUGACUGCGAUGAAUUAUUUCAGUCAGUGGGAAUGGUGCGAAUUAUUCACACCCCAAAAAAUCCCCGUCUAGGACGGCGUUUGUUCGCGUGGACUCCAGAUACGGACCACACGAUGUGCACUGCUAUGCUGGCAGACGAGACACCAGGUCCACUUAUGGUCCGUCUUAGGUCGGGAAUGGUAAAGGCUUCUGAUGUUUUAAAUCAACACACUAGGCUGGAUUUGUGUGCUGAAAACAUAUGGGCUCGUUUGCGUUAUUUGAAACGUUUGGCGAACCUUAUCAAUGAGUUGUGUGAAGAGCAUCCAGGAUUUCAUUGGGACAAUGAAAGAAGUACGGUGAUUGCAACGGACGAUGACUGGAUUGCCCUUGAGGAAGAGAUACCUGAGUAUUACACACAUAUUAGGAACAUGUAUGUUCCAGCGUACCCGGUGUACUUGGAACUAUCAGCAAAGUAUCGAUUGUAGGCAAAGAGUGUUUGCGUGAGAUUUAAAAAGUGUUUUACAAAAAACUGGAUGUCGGUGGUAACUGUCUUCAUUUGACAUCUAUGAGUAGGUGGUAAUUGUUUUAUGAAAAACAUGUACUGUAUAAUGUUUUGGUAAUAUUAUAAUUUUUAUCAUAUUUUGUAAAGUCAAUGCUUCAUUGUAUUAGAACGUUAUCUGACAUUGUGUUAGGAUUAGAAUCAAACUCAGAUAAUGGUGUGGUGGACUCCUAAGGAAGACGUGAACUUGUGUUUCGCGUGGGUAUCGAUAUACACUUGUCCUCCGGUUAAUCAUGCCGGUACAAGUUAUUGGACAGAUAUUUCGGCUCGUUUCCACGAGAUGGAGGGAGUUGUUGAAAGAAAGGAACUAGGCCACUUAGCUAGUCGAUUUCAAGACAUUUGGGAGUGCACAGAGAUAUUGGUUAGUUUAAUAGACUUCAUCCGCCUAAAACGAACUAUUAUCACUAACGAAGAUGAAAGGAUCCGAGAAGCGUGCAAUUUAUACAAAAUUAACCAAUACGGGCGGUUUGAAUUCCUCCCUUGUUUGCCAAUAAUCGAACCAUUCAUGCAUUGUGACAACCUUGGGUGCGAUGGUUUGAUGAAAAUGCACAAGGGAAUGGGAAACAAUGACAAGCAAUGGGUAUGCUUUGCAAAAUGCGCUAAUCAAGCAUGCCCAGGAAUUAUAUUCUUGUAUCCAUUUCAUGUAUCGCCACCAUCUGGAGGAGACCUUGAGAUGAUUUGUGCGAAAUGUCUUCAAAACCCUUGUCAUGGUGAUUGCGCAAACUAUUGGAAGCACAUUUCUUUACCACCACCUGAAGAUGGUGUUUGUUUGCACUGCUUAGGCAACCCAUGUACGUGGGAUUGUGCCAAUUAUUGUGAUUGUUGUAGUCGUGACUAGACAUUUAUGUUAUAUGUAAGACACAUUUUCAUUUAUUAUGUAAUAUGUAACACACAUUUUCAAAUAGUAUUGUAACUUUCGUUUUGAUAUGAAUUCAGUAAUGGUCGUGAAGUGCUUUGUAUUCCUUAUCAUGUAAUGGUCGUAAAGUGCUUUGUAUUAAUUAUCUUGUGUAUGGAACAUAUUGUAUAACUUACGCCGUUGCGGAUUAACAUUGUCGUGUAACAAAUGGUUGCUUAUAUUUUGUAUGGAACAUUGCUAGUCUAAUUGCAACAAAUUGUUGCUCAUCAUGUGUAGCAUUCUUUACGUAUGUUGAGUAAUACAUUUGUAAACUUAUGGGUAUUGCAAUAUGUGUUACAGAGAACCAAGCAAUGGCGCCCAACUUGAGGCCCAUCAUGAGAGAUAACCCUUUCUGGGUCAAGCAAGUUACAAAGGGACAUGUAACCAAGGGAUGCGUAAUGGUAAGCAAAUUCCUAAUUAUGUAUGGACAUAGAUAAAAUGAUGGGCUUUGGGCUGUUAGUUGGGCCUCGCAGUGAUGGCUAGUAAUGUUGAUAUAUAUGGCAAGAAAUGUGCACAUAUAUAUGGGCUGCUACAUGUGCAGAAAACUGUUUGAUAUGUACUGUUGAUAUAUGGAAUAAUUGUUCGACAGAACUGUUUGAUAUGUGGCUAGUAAUGUUGAUAUAUAUUGUUGAUAUAGGGCAGAAAUUUUAUAUAUACUGUUGAUAUAUGGAAUUGUUGGACAGAACUGUUUGGAUUCAUGGCAGAAAUUUUAUAUAACCAUGCCUAGUAAUGUUGAUAUAUAUUGUUGGUAUAUGGCAGAAAAUCCCAGCUGCGAACAAAUACUUAUUCGACAACUGCAACCGGGUUGUACUCAUAUUGCCUGGUGAACAAUCUUUUGCCAUUGACAUUGCCAAUGACCAACACGGUUCAUUGUACUUUCGCUACAAUGGGUGGAAGUGUUUCGUCGACUCAGUGGGACUCCACGAAGGCGACACCAUUUUGUUUGAGUGUUGGGGGUUGUGUCACACCCACAGCCUGGGGAGGAUCAGAUGCCAGAUUUAUCAUACCGAUGGGCGACGACCACGGCUUUUCUUCGGCCGUAUACCGGCACCGGCGACACGGACCUGGCCUGCUGGGUUUGGGAGACCCCAAUCAGGUCCAGCUAGAGACCAGACCGAACCAGAAGAGGAAGAACAAGAAGGAGAAGGUUCGGGUACUCUAGCUUCGCCAUAUGUCGUCUAGUGGGGUGUUCACCAGGUUGCUUGAUUGUUUGUUUUUCUUUGUUUUGCUUUGUCUGACUAUGGGGGCCGUGUUGAUGACAUUUUUAACAAUUUUUUUAUUAUUAUGUUUAUAUAAACAUAUAACUAUGUUUUAUGAAUGUAUAUAAUUUCGUUAAUUAUAUUAUGAGUGUUAUUGUUGAGUAAUUUUUUUUGUUUGUUUUUUUUUAUUGCGAAAUGUUAUUGAGUUACUAGGGUGACUCUACCAUACUUUUGGGUGAUAUGUGAUCACUUUUGCACAGCCCAAUCAAGUUUGGACUUGUUCUUUUCGACCAGCCCAAUGGGCCUUCAACUUUGCCACUAGGUUUUGCCACAAUCGAAAGUUUUAUCAAAACCAAUCUAACCGGCAAAUAUAGUUACAUGGUUUGCCAAAUGUGUUUUCAAAUGCAUUCUAACCGGCAAAUUGCGAUUUAUCUGCUUUUUGCAAAAUUGUUAUCAAACGAUGGCAAAAUAAUGUUGCGGAUAAAUCGUUUGCCAAGACCCGGCAAACCUGACAUUUGCCGCUUCUUUGCCGAAUUUGCCAAAAAAACUUUCGAACCGGGAAUUCGUUAUCAAACACAGCCUAAUAGUUCAACACAUGAUCUCGAGAUCUUUGAUUUUGGCAAUGAGUCGAGAUCUCAACAAUUCCAAGAUUUGUACUAGGGUUGGCCCAAUAUAUAAAUGUAUACAGUAUACUAGAGCCAAGCCAAAAUAAUCAAUAAAAAUUAUAACUCACCAAAAGCUUGAGGAUUGAUCAAAUGAAUGUCACUUUCUUUCCUAAAAAGACACAAGCUCUCCUCCAUGUUGUUUGUCCUCAUGUAUCGGAAGAUAGCAUUAAAGAACCU
rnacentral:lncRNA from 1 species